UACAGAGGUUGCGAGCGUUAUUCGGAAUUAUUGGGCGUAAAGGGCGCGUAGGCGGCUAGGCAAGUCCUGGGUGAAAUCCCUCGGCUCAACCGUGGAACUGCCUUGGAAACUGCCUGGCUCGAGGCCGGGAGAGGGUAGCGGAAUUCCCAGUGUAGCGGUGAAAUGCGUAGAUACUGGGAGGAACACCAGUGGCGAAGGCGGCUACCUGGACCGGUUCUGACGCUGAGGCGCGAAAGCGUGGGGAGCAAACGGG
rnacentral:rRNA from 1 species